AGUGAACGCUGGCGGUAGGCCUAACACAUGCAAGUCGAACGGCAGCACAGUAAGAGCUUGCUCUUACGGGUGGCGAGUGGCGGACGGGUGAGGAAUACAUCGGAAUCUACUUUUUCGUGGGGGAUAACGUAGGGAAACUUACGCUAAUACCGCAUACGACCUACGGGUGAAAGCAGGGGAUCUUCGGACCUUGCGCGAUUGAAUGAGCCGAUGUCGGAUUAGCUAGUUGGCGGGGUAAAGGCCCACCAAGGCGACGAUCCGUAGCUGGUCUGAGAGGAUGAUCAGCCACACUGGAACUGAGACACGGUCCAGACGCCUACGGGAGGCAGCAGUGGGGAAUAUUGGACAAUGGGCGCAAGCCUGAUCCAGCCAUACCGCGUGGGUGAAGAAGGCCUUCGGGUUGGAAAGCCCUUUUGUUGGGAAAGAAAAGCAGCAGGUUAAUACCCCGCUGUUCUGACGGUACCCAAAGAAUAAGCACCGGCUAACUUCGUG
rnacentral:rRNA from 1 species